AACGAACGCUGGCGGCAGGCCUAACACAUGCAAGUCGAACGCCCCGCAAGGGGAGUGGCGCACGGGUGAGUAACGCGUGGGAACCUGCCCUUCGGUUCGGGACAACCCAGGGAAACUUGGGCUAAUACCGGAUGAGCUCCGCGAGGAGGAAAGAUUUCUCGCCGGAGGAGGGGCCCGCGUCGGAUUAGGUAGUUGGUGAGGUAACGGCUCACCAAGCCUUCGAUCCGUAGCCGGUCUGAGAGGAUGAUCGGCCACACUGGGACUGAGACACGGCCCAGACUCCUACGGGAGGCAGCAGUGGGGAAUAUUGGACAAUGGGGGGCAACCCUGAUCCAGCCAUGCCGCGUGGAUGAUGAAGGCCUUCGGGUUGUAAAGUCCUUUCGCGCACGACGAUGAUGACGGUAGUGCGAGAAGAAGCCUCGGCUAACUCCGUGCCAGCAGCCGCGGUAAU
rnacentral:rRNA from 1 species